rnacentral:rRNA from 1 species
UACGAGGGGGGCGAGCGUUGUUCGGAAUUAUUGGGCGUAAAGGGCGCGUAGGCGGUCGGAUAAGUCUUGUGUGAAAUCUUCGGGCUCAACUCGAAGUCUGCACAGGAAACUAUCUGGCUUGAGUGUGGGAGAGGUGAGUGGAAUUCCUGGUGUAGCGGUGAAAUGCGUAGAUAUCAGGAGGAACACCUGUGGCGAAGGCGGCGACCUGGGCCAAUAUUGACGCUGAGGUGCGAAAGCGUGGGGAGCAAACAGG